GGCCGAGUAGUCUAGUGGAUAAUGGCGUCAGACUUCGGAUCUGAAGGUCGCAGGUUCAAAUCCUGCCUCGGUCG
rnacentral:tRNA from 1 species